GGGCACAUGGUGUAGCUGGUUAUCACGCUCGCUUUGCAUUGUCACUUCGAUUGCGAGUGGUCUCCGGUUCGAUUCCGGAUGUGUCCA